UGGUAUUUUAUAAUGUGAAGUUUAGAAAGAACAAACUGCCUCCCUAACAACACAUACCUCAUUAACAGAGGAUUGGGAGGAACAUGUUACCAAAAUUAAAAGAAGAAAAAAACAGAAAAUAAAGAACACCAGUAGGUGCCCAAACAAAGCAUGAACAAAGGAAACAUGCUAGAGGCUCGUCAACCAGUCAUGGAGACUCCAUUGACAGCCUCUGUUCGGAUAGUGGAUUAGUAGCCAGUGGGGACCCAAGUCGCAAGAUAAGAUUGGUAGCGAUGAACCCGCGUAACGCUGAUAGCAAUGCUCGUAGCAACACCAUUUUUAUCGAGAGAUAUAUGCUCUAAACUCUAAUCAUCAGAUGAGCUUAGCUCCUUUCUCCGGCAUGAAAGAAGGAAGCUUUAUGUAGCAUGUUUGCCAUCAAAGAUCCAAGAUUAGGGGACAAACUAUUAAAGCAUAAACGAACUUUUCAAACAGCUUGGUUCUUCUAAUAUCCACAGUAGCAGCUUGAGAAGAAACUAGCUGGAGAUCCGUAUCUGCUCCGAAAAAAUUGCGGUAGAAGCAAAUCGACACAAACGGUUGCUCCAUAAGGAUCCGGAAAUAAUGACAAAACCGUCGCUCCCCCAGGAGCACAACACCUUCACUAGGUAAAUCAUACAGAGCUGAAGCCAAACCAAUUCCACCCUUGUAGUUGAUCGAAGAGAAGCCAUCAUCCAAGAGAUUUAAAGAAGCCAGAAGCUAGAAACAAGACACUUCAAAAAAGAACCACACAAUACUGAACUAACCUGUAGCUUGAGAAAAAUCAAAGCAGAGUAGCUAAACCCAUGGGAUCGAAGAGAACCCCUUACCCAAACCGGACUCAUUCAAAAGGAGGAAUAAAGCGCCGCAUAGAACCGCUUCAACCAUUGAAGCAAAUGGAACAGGAGCGAGGUUGAUUGACGACAACGAGGAUCCAAAGAG
rnacentral:lncRNA from 1 species